GGAUCGACGAUGACUCCCACAAGUGCAUUCCCUGGAAAUCUGAAAAAAAAUGAGUGAGAAACCCCUACCGUCACCUCAUUGGAACUGAGGUCC
ensembl:snoRNA SNORD116 Small nucleolar RNA SNORD116